AUCCAGAUGACGAGUCCCCAAAUAGGACGGAAUGCGAAUCCUGGAU
rnacentral:hammerhead_ribozyme from 1 species